CCUUUAAGGAAGAAAACAAAACAUUCAGAGUUAAACAGGAAGAGAUACUACGAACAUAUAAGUGCCAAUUAUCGAAGGCAAAAAGAGGUAUUGGAAGAAAGACUUUGAAUUUCUACUGUGGUCUGUUGCGACAGCUAUAUCAGGGAUAGAGUUCGUUUUUGUUUACAAAAAACACAAUUUGUUCCAGAUUAAGGCUAAUCAUCCUUCACCUAAACAUCCUUUCGAAAAAAAAAAUCCGUGGGAAGACUGAGCUGGAUGGGUUCCUACAUACACAGAAAAGGGCUGGUUCAUUUACGUAGGUGUAAAAAAGGUCCGACGUAAAGUACGUUUCACCUGCUCGCUAUCCUGGUAAGAGACAGGAAGGAGUUUCGCGACAGUGGUCUGAAGAAGCUGAAAAGAAGACGUAAAAGUACAAAAAUACAACCAACAUCUGGCCGAAAGAGGACAUUCCUUGAGGUUACGCCUAGGCUAAUACAUUUUCAUGAAGGAAUCGCUUUAUAUGACGAUGUAUUUCAACCUAAGCAUGAGUUACUAAUAAGCAACGACGAGAUCUUUCAAGAAAAGCAGAGUUCCCAUUUUGCCCGCCGCUUCCCGUACAGUCUUCAACAAAGCACAUGAAUGGCGCAGAUCCACAGUGACGUAUCUCUCACGUGACUCCCGACAGACAGCGCGGUGCAGAGAAGCGUCAGUGACGGUAAGCUUGGCACCGGUCCAACUCGACUGGGUCUCACCGCGCUGUGAGCGCCUCAUGCACAGGACUCGGCACCAGGUAGACACACGAGCGUCGGUUGCAUCCUUAGGGGGAAGGCCCGAGAGGUUGCUUAGCAACGGGGGCUUAUACAUGCUGCCUUCGUCUAGAAGAUUAUAAAAGCAUCAACACCCAGGUUACAGUUAGUCUGCUUAGCAACCGCUUUUGGUGUCACGCACGCCUUAACUGAUAACAGUAGAAAGACAAAAAUAAGAGCGUUAACUUUAUUUUAAAAAACGAAGGUUUAAUUUCACUGCAUCUAAUGCAGAACGAGGGUUCUCACUUGGACUUGAGCACAGCGCACGUAAUUUCCCGAUUCUCUCUCUCGAUGCUCUUGCGCUUGUGUUUGACCGAUUCUCACUUAUGUUGCGCUUCCGUUUCGCUUACGUACGCAAAACGGUCAUAAGUGGUUGUACAUGGAUCAGAAACGGACAUAAGUGGACGUACUUGGAUCAGAAACGGACAUAAGUGGUCGUACUUGGAUCAGAAACGGACAUAAGUGGACGUACUUGGAUCAGAAACGGACAUAAGUGGUCGUACUUGGAUCAGAAACGGACAUAAGUGGACGUACUUGGAUCAGAAACGGUCAUAAGUGGACGUACUUGGAUCAGAAACGGACAUAAGUGGUUGUACAUGGAUCAGAAACGGACAUAAGUGGUGGUCGUACUUAGAUCAGAAACAGACAUAAGUGGUUGUACAUGGAUCAGAAACGGACAUAAGUGGUUGUACUUGGAUCAGAAACGGACAUAAGUGGUCGUACUUGGGUCAGAAACGGACAUAAGUGGUCGUACUUUGAUCAGAAACGGACAUAAGUGGACGUACUUGGAUCAGAAACGGACAUAAGUGGACGUACUUGGAUCAGAAACGGACAUAAGUGGUCGUACUUUGAUCAGAAACGGACAUAAGUGGUUGUACUUGGAUCAGAAACGGACAUAAGUGGUUGUACUUGGAUCAGAAACGGACAUAAGUGGUCGUACUUUCAUCAGAAACGGACAUAAGUGGUUGUAAUUCGGUCAGAAACGGACAUAAGUGGUUGUACUUGUCGUACAUGGAUCAGGAACGGUCAUAAGUGGCUGUACUUCGAUCAGAAGCGGCCAUAAGUGGAUGUACAUAAGUGGAUGUACUUGGAUCAGAAACGGCCAUAAGUGGAUGUACUUGGAUCAGAAACGGUCAUAAGUGGUUGUACUUUGAUCAGAAACGAGUGCGUUUUGGAGCGGGUCACCUAAAAUGGCUAUAAACUUGACAACAGGGCCAGCCCUAGAGUAACGAGGUGAAGCCACCUACCACCAAAAGAACUGCUGACCGUCCGACUGCAGGCCUGUACGGCUAGCACAUAGCAACAGCACGGUGGAGGCAAGGGAAGUUUACCAGAAGGGUUAUCCUGAAAAAAAAAAGGCGGCGAGAAUUACAAAUGCCAAAGGCAUUGUCCCCUCAGAGAGGGGCCUAAGGCGGGCUUAUCAUGACGUCACACUUACAGAAUAUCAAACCUUUCAUUGAAGGGUGUCUAUUUUAAAUACACAUACCUCCGAGCUCAGAGGCAGGCUGUCCCAUUCCCCCGUCCGCCUCCCGUCCUCGUCUUUCCACAGAGAGUCAAUCAAGGAAAACAGACCAGGUGAUCUUGAAAAGCAACAAAAUAAAAAAAGCCCGAUUUCUGGCAUCACCUCUCCACUCAACCCCAUUCCAACUAACGUCGGAUCCCAUUUGUUGCGAUCGUGUGUGAUAAUAUGGAAACAAACCUACAAGGAAACCACUUUGCGGUCGGAAUAAUGCGAUCUUCUAGCAACAAAAAAACAAACAAUUAUCUUUAGCAGAAUUUACCUUGCACGAUUUAUUCUUUGUAAUAUUUUAAGGUCAGAGAAUUUGAACAGUUUUCCCUCGCUUGCCAGAACACCAGACCUAAAAUCAACAAGACAAACUUGUUCAACCAUACAAGACGGUAUUUGAUUAUUGUUUCAUGCCUAAGUUAGUUACUAAACUAAUGGUUCA